rnacentral:rRNA from 1 species
AAGUCGUAACAAGGUUUCCGUAGGUGAACCUGCGGAAGGAUCAUUAACGAGCCGUCGAAAUGGGUUGUUGCUGGCCCCGUCCGGGGCAGCGUGCACGCCUUGCUCGCACAUCCAUCCUUAUCACUUGUGCACAACCUGUAGUUCUGUGCUGACCGAGGGGGCGCCUCGAGCGUCCCCGAUGGCGCUCAGUCCUAUGUUUUUCAUUGCUCGAUGACACCACGGUUUGAUAGAAUGUGCCUCUGGCGUACUACGGUAACGCUAUAAAAUAUAACUUUCAGCAACGGAUCUCUUGGCUCUCGCAUCGAUGAAGAACGCAGCGAAAUGCGAUAAGUAAUGUGAAUUGCAGAAUUCAGUGAAUCAUCGAAUCUUUGAACGCACCUUGCACCCUUUGGCAUUCCGAGGGGUAUGCCUGUUUGAGUAUCAUGAAACCCUUCAACUCCCUCAGACCUUUUGCGUCUGUAGGCGAGCUUGGAAUUGGAGGCUUUUGCCGGCAAUAUGGUAAGGCUUUGGUCAAGCCGGCUUGCCUGGCUCCUCUUGAAAGAAUUAGCUGUGAUGUGAUCUUGACAGCGUGACCGGUGUGAUAAGUUUUUGCGCCGAACCAUGCUGUCCUCAAGCGACGCCGUCGGAGACCCUCCAGCUCAUAUUAACCGCCGUCCUUCACUGGCGCGGUCACUUUGAAUCUUUGAUCUCAAAUCAGGUAGGAUCACCCGCUGAACUUAA